rnacentral:rRNA from 1 species
GUCUAUGGUCAUGCCACCCUGAACAAGCCUGAUGUCUGAUCUCAGAAGCUAAGCAGAGUCAGGCCUGGUUAAUACUUGGAUGGGAGACCACCUAGGAAGACCAGGUGCUUUAGGCA